AUGUGUUUUCUCGAGCUUCUACAGGCAAAAGAUCCUUGGGUAUGUACAUCCGAACGCUACUUAGUCCAUCAAUCUGUUUAUUUAGUUCAAUUUAGGAUUAGAGUAAGAAAACAAACAGCUUUGAAAUGUGAUAAAAUAUGGUUAGAAGUGGAACAUGACAGGUUAACUGGUGAAAUGGGAGAAGUAAAUUACCUGAGAAAGUGGCAACGAAAUAACAACUGGUUCUCCACGGGAUUUGAGAGGAAUAACCUUCAUUGUCUUCUUUCCACUUAUGUCCUUGAUUACAGAACAUCUUGUGAGGACAUCAACAGUGUAAUCACAAUCCUCGGGCCUUCUUUCUGUAAGAACAAAAACCAGAAGUCAGCAGAGUCAAAAUAG
rnacentral:rRNA from 1 species